UGGGGAAUAUUGCGCAAUGGGCGAAAGCCUGACGCAGCGACGCCGCGUGAGGGAUGAAGGUUUUCGGAUCGUAAACCUCUGUCAGAAGGGAAGAAACCGCACUGUGCUAAUCAGCAGUGCCUUGACGGUACCUUCAAAGGAAGCACCGGCUAACUCCGUGCCAGCAGCCGCGGUAAUACGGAGGGUGCAAGCGUUAAUCGGAAUUACUGGGCGUAAAGCGCACGUAGGCUGCUUUGUAAGUCAGGGGUGAAAUCCCACGGCUCAACCGUGGAACUGCCUUUGAUACUGCUUAGCUUGAAUCCGGGAGAGGGUGGCGGAAUUCCAGGUGUAGAAGUGAAAUCUGUAGAUAUCUGGAGGAACAUCAGUGGCGAAGGCGGCCACCUGGACCGGUAUUGACGCUGAGGUGCGAAAGCGUGGGGAGCAAACAGG
rnacentral:rRNA from 1 species